GCUAGUAAUGGCAGGUCAGCAUACUGCCGUGAAUACGUUCCCGGGCCUUGUACACACCGCCCGUCAAGCCAUGGGAGCCGGGGGUGCCUGAAGUUCGUGACCGCAAGGAGCGACCUAGGGCAAAACUGGUGACUGGGGCUAAGUCGUAACAAGGUAAC
rnacentral:rRNA from 1 species